rnacentral:tRNA from 1 species
GAUCCGGUGGGCGAAUGGCUAAGCCACGAGGCCUUCAACCUCGUAAUUGCGAGUUCGAAUCUCGUCCGGAUCACCA